AUUGAACGCUGGCGGCAGGCCUAACACAUGCAAGUCGAGCGGAUGAAGGGAGCUUGCUCCUGGAUUCAGCGGCGGACGGGUGAGUAAUGCCUAGGAAUCUGCCUGGUAGUGGGGGAUAACGUCCGGAAACGGGCGCUAAUACCGCAUACGUCCUGAGGGAGAAAGUGGGGGAUCUUCGGACCUCACGCUAUCAGAUGAGCCUAGGUCGGAUUAGCUAGUUGGUGGGGUAAAGGCCUACCAAGGCGACGAUCCGUAACUGGUCUGAGAGGAUGAUCAGUCACACUGGAACUGAGACACGGUCCAGACCCCUACGGGAGGCAGCAGUGGGGAAUAUUGGACAAUGGGCGAAAGCCUGAUCCAGCCAUGCCGCGUGUGUGAAGAAGGUCUUCGGAUUGUAAAGCACUUUAAGUUGGGAGGAAGGGCAGUAAGUCAAUACCUUGCUGUUUUGACGUUACCAACAGAAUAAGCACCGGCUAACUUCGUG
rnacentral:rRNA from 1 species